rnacentral:rRNA from 1 species
AACGAACGCUGGCGGCAGGCUUAACACAUGCAAGUCGAGCGCCUCGCAAGAGGAGCGGCAGACGGGUGAGUAACGCGUGGGAACCUACCCAAUGGUACGGAACAACUCAGGGAAACUUGAGCUAAUACCGUAUGUGUCCUUCGGGAGAAAGAUUUAUCGCCAUUGGAUGGGCCCGCGUCGGAUUAGCUAGUUGGUGGGGUAAUGGCCUACCAAGGCGACGAUCCGUAGCUGGUCUGAGAGGAUGAUCAGCCACACUGGGACUGAGACACGGCCCAGACUCCUACGGGAGGCAGCAGUGGGGAAUAUUGGACAAUGGGCGCAAGCCUGAUCCAGCCAUGCCGCGUGAGUGAUGAAGGCCUUAGGGUUGUAAAGCUCUUUCAGCUGGGAAGAUAAUGACGGUACCAGCAGAAGAAGCCCCGGCUAACUUCGUGCCAGCCGCCGCCGUAACAC